UUGGAGGGCAAGUCUGGUGCCAGCAGCCGCGGUAAUUCCAGCUCCAAUAGCGUAUAUUAAAGUUGUUGCAGUUAAAAAGCUCGUAGUUGAAUUUCGGGAUUGACGUGAUGGUCAUGCCUUAAGGGGUAUGAACUGUUACAGUUGAUUUCUCACCUUCUGGAGAAACUUGAUGUCCUUUAUUGGGUGUCUUGCGGAUCCAGGACCUUUACCUUGAAAAAAUUAGAGUGUUUAAAGCAGGCAUUUUUGCUCGAAUACAUUAGCAUGGAAUAAUAGAAUAGGACGGCAUGGUUCUAUUUUGUUGGUUUCUAGGAUCACCGUAAUGAUUAAUAGGGAUAGUUGGGGGCAUUAGUAUUCGAUUGUCAGAGGUGAAAUUCUUGGAUUUAUUGAAGACUAACUACUGCGAAAGCAUUUGCCAAGGAUGUUUUCAUUAAUCAAGAACGAAAGUUAGGGGAUCGAAGACGAUCAGAUACCGUCGUAGUCUUAACCAUAAACUAUGCCGACUAGGGAUCGGAUGAUGUUAAUUUUUUAAUGACCCAUUCGGCGCCUUACGGGAAACCAAAGUGUUUGGGUUC
rnacentral:rRNA from 1 species